CUUUUACAGAAGAAUGACAAUUCAAAAAAAACGCCACUUAUGCUAAUGGAUCAAAAUAUCUCCACCCUUGUUUCUAAAAAGAAUUAUUCACCCCAAACUCUCUCUCUCUCUCUCUCAACCCUCUAUCUAGAUCGCCGGCGUGAAGAUCUCCUUCAAAUCCAAAAGGACGGCAGUUUUAUUAACCCUUGUUAAACUGGAAAGACGUUAGCGAGACAAAUUAGACCGACAUAUUUGCACAAUUUCUUCAGAAUCUGAAAUCAAAGACGUGUACGACACAAGCCCUUUUUUCACAAUCUCUCGCCCACAGAUUCUCAACUCAGAAGUAAGAUGAUUCCCAUCUCUUGAAGCAGAUCCUUAAAAGCUAUGGACUUGCAUUGGGGAGAAAAAAUCACUGAAUGAAUUGGUCGAGGACAAUAUGUUUCAUUGACUCUCAUAAAGAGCAAUGUAAGUUGAUAAUCUUUUGUCCGAGAAUAAAAGGAGCGUAGCGGCUGAAAAUGAUCAUUUUGUUAUAAAUCAUUUCAACAAGUUCCAACUCCUUGUAUUAUAGCCUAUAGGUUUCAUUUUCACAUGAGAUUGGGAAUCCGUUAGCCCAUGUAUUGCUUUCCAUGAAGAAUUUCAAUUGCAAUAUCCUUAUCUUUAUUUCAGAUAGUAUUCUUAAUUGUCA
rnacentral:lncRNA from 1 species